GCGCUUCUUGUCUCUCCCUCACGUGUUUUCUGCAGAAAAACAAGAAAAAUGGAACAACAGACAAGGUUCCUCUUCCUUCGAUUCUCUCCCAACGUGAACAGCAACUCGGUUUCUCUUCCUCACUCUCGGUUGAACAACGAUAACACAACAGCACUAUCUUUCUCGCGGUUCUCACUCAAACUCAUGGCCUUUCCCUCACGGUUUCUCUCUCUCUCGGAACAACAAGAACGAUGGCGGCCAUUGAAGAAGCUCGAAGAAUCCAGGUAUGCUUCUUCCCAAAUUCCGUUUUUUGUUCUUUUUAAUGAUAACUCAGUGACAUCUCUCUCUUUCUGUUUCAAUUUUGCUUGCGUGAACAAACAACAACAACUCACGCUCUCGGUUUCUCACGGUGAAGGACUCUCCCUCUCAGUGAAUGAUUUUCGGCCAUGGGAGGAGAACCAGAGGAAAAAUCCAGGGAACCAAGUUUAACAGCAACAAACUACAAUAUUUAGAGAAAGAGUUGAAUCAACGUACCUACAGCAAGGAGAUUUUUGCGGUUUUGAUGUUGAGAUUGAAUGAUGAAGAGAACCAUGCUUGAUUCUGUUUUGAUGCUGCAAACUUUGUGCUUUUUGUUGUAGGAUCCUUUGAUGAAGAUCAUCACCACCUCUUUGGAUAUUAGGGAGACUUGAAGAUGGCCUUCAAGUUGGAACUCUCCACCAAGGUAUGAAGAAUUUCUUCUUCACUUCCCUUCAAGAACUAUGUAGCUAGAAACUCUUAUUUUUCAAGUAGUUUUCUUUGAUUUGAAGAAUUUCUCCUUCUAACAAAGAAACAUGAAAACUAUAAGAGAAGAGGAAGAAGUGAGAAAGCUAGUAGUAUAGUAGCUUUGGUGUGAUUUUCUUCAAUGAGAGAACUUCCUAUUUAUAGGCAAAGUUAAGGGAGUGUUUGGCAAUUGGUAAUCUUGAUUGGCAAGUUUCAAUCAUUGCAAGAUAAGAAAAAGAAUAUAUUCUUCAUCAUUGCAAGAAUAAAAAAUAAGAAUAAGAAUAUUCUUAUGCAAAGAUAUUUUUCAUGAUAUAAGCCAUGUGUGUAAAUUUUUAUGUCAUUUUAUGAUAUCUCUAAGUUGCAUAAUUUUAUGACAUAAAAAUCUCUCUUUGGCUUUCUUUGACUUUUGCUAAUUUCACCCCUCUUUUUGUUUCUUUUUUUCAUGUUGCAUGAGGACCUUGAAGAAAAGCAUGAAGAAAUUUGAUCUUGAAGAAUGAAGACUUGAAGAAUUCAAGAAUUGCAUUUGAAGUUUUAUCUUUUUCUUUUCCUUGUAAUUCCAACUUUGUAUGAAUGAAACUUUGUAUUCUUGAAAAUGAAUGGAAUUUUGUAAUUCUUGAAUUUUGGAUAAAGUCUCUAUUGUAACUCAUUUGAAAUUUGGAACUUGUUCAUGUAAAGAAACUCCACUUGUAAUGUUUGAAUUUCUCUUAGAA